rnacentral:rRNA from 1 species
CACGGAGUUAGCCGAUCCUUAUUCCUUCGGUACGUUCAGCACGCUACACGUAGCGUGGUUUAUUCCCGAAUAAAAGCAGUUUACAACCCGGAGGGCCGUCUUCCUGCACGCGGCAUGGCUGGUUCAGAGUUGCCUCCAUUGACCAAUAUUCCUUACUGCUGCCUCCCGUAGGAGUCUGGUCCGUGUCUCAGUACCAGUGUGGGGGGCCAUCCUCUCAGAUCCCCUAGACAUCGUCGCCUUGGUGGGCCGUUACCCCGCCAACCAGCUAAUGUCACGUAUGCCCAUCUCUCCCCAUGAAUGUUUGACCAUGGCACGAUGCCGUGCCGUGGUUUUAUGCGGUAUUAAUCCGGAUUUCUCCGGGCUAUCCCCCAGGUGAAGGUAGGUUGCAUACGCGUUACGCACCGUGCGCCGGUCUCAAGGCUGCAAGCAGCCUCUACCCCUCGACUUGCAUGUAUUAGGCCUGCCGCUAGCGUUCAUCCUGAGCCAGGAUCAAACUCU